CCUACGGGUGGCAGCAGUGAGGAAUAUUGGUCAAUGGCCGGAAGGCUGAACCAGCCAAGUAGCGUGAAGGAUGAUUGCCCUGUGUGUUGUAAACUUCUUUUAUAUGGGAAUAAAAUGUUCCACGUGUGGGAUUUUGUAUGUACCAUCUGAAUAAGCAUCGGCUAACUCCGUGCCAGCAGCCGCGGUAAUACGGAGGAUCCGAGCGUUAUCCGGAUUUAUUGGGUUUAAAGGGAGCGUAGGUGGAUUGUUAAGUCAGUCGUGAAAGUUGGCGGCUCAACCGGAAAAUCGCAGUUGAAACUGGCAGUCUUGAGUACAGUAGAGGUAGGCGGAAUGCGCGGUGUAGCGGUGAAAUGCAUAGAUAUCACGAAGAACUCCGAUUGCGAAGGCAGCUUACCGGACUGCAACUGACACUGAGGCUCGAAAGUGUGGGUAUCAAACAGGAUUAGAUACCCCUGUAGUC
rnacentral:rRNA from 1 species